rnacentral:tRNA from 1 species
GCCUGAGUGGCUUAGCGGUUGAGCGCCUGCCUUCAGGCCAGGGCGUGAUUCUGGGGUCGUGGGAUAGAGUCCCACAUCGGGCU